rnacentral:lncRNA from 1 species
UCAUUAUAUAUUCUUGUGUUUGUCCAGAUGGAAGGCAAAAUGAAUUUUGCAGUGAAGUUGAUGAUGGUGCUAAUAAUAAUGGCUUUUAUGGUUUCCAUUGGAAGUGCUCGAUUUCAUUUUCCUCCAGAUUGCUGCCCUAUGGUCCCUGCAUGCUGCGUCCGCAAAUUUGUCCCCAAAAUCACAAAAUCCUAAACUCUCUUAUUCCAAAAUAAUUGCAGGGCACUAAUCUCAUUAGUUCUCCUGUAGUAAUCUUUGUAAUGGCUAAAUAAGUGAAGGGGACUAAUGUUGUUAGUUCUUCUGCUUUAUGAUAA